CUGUACGUGUCGCUAUUCGGGGAGUCUGGUCGGGUUUCCGAACUCGGCUCCCGGAUACUUCGUAGGGAGCGCGGGCUAAUAGUCGAAUUAUCGCCGAAGGUUUUCAUAGCUAUCGUUCUCGGACUUUGCCGAGGUUUCGGUGAACAAGGCUGGGGUCUUUGAAGAUUGCCUUGGUAUCUGUGUUCGGCUGGUACACUCACGGCCGGGGUCAUUUUCUCAGCUAAACAUCGGAGUCUACGUAUGGGGGCCGAGUUGGGCCCUAAUUUGUGAAGACUGUUUAAGUUGUGGAGAUUUGACGAGCGGAGCAUGCAUAAGAUUGUUAGGAGAUCGGUCUUAAGCCGACCCAUUGGAG
rnacentral:lncRNA from 1 species